GGCUGGGUAGGCUAAUAUAGUAUUUUUUGUUUGGAUCUUGGUUUAGAAGGAAGUUAAAGAGAGAUUUUGUAAUGCUCUUGUGUGCAUAAAAACUUUUAAAAGGUGUAUCUUUUCCGAUAGGGAUCUUGAUAUGAAAUGAACCAUAAGAUUUUGAGGUUUAUUGCCAGAAUGCAGAAGCUUAGUUGGAUUUCAGUUCAUCAUUUGGUUUUUGUAGUUAGUUCAUGCCUGAUAUAAGUAUCUAUAAUUCAGAUUAUUUUAUCAAGGUAUAAGAUUAUUGGAAGCUCGUAUGAUUGUGUAGCCUGUGUCAUGAUAUAUUUUAGAUUUCCCCAGAUUAAAGCAACUCCUUGGCACAUGGUAUAUUACUUGUAAAUGUGUUUUUUUGUAUUUUUUGUUGAGUUAAUUUUGUUUUUUUUUUUUUUGCUGAAUUUUUUUUUUUUUUGGAUUCUUUUGCUGAAUUUUGGUUGGUUUGAUUUUGAUUACAGCCAACAAAACGAUGUUUGUGAUUCAAAAGCUGGUGCUGAUCUUCUUGACAUGAUUCUUUGCAAGUAGGGAAGCCUGAACCAAAACCUUCACCAACUUCAGAAAGUGGUA